rnacentral:rRNA from 1 species
UACGGAGGGAGCUAGCGUUGUUCGGAAUUACUGGGCGUAAAGCGCACGUAGGCGGCUUUGUAAGUUAGAGGUGAAAGCCCGGAGCUCAACUCCGGAAUUGCCUUUAAGACUGCAUCGCUUGAAUCCAGGAGAGGUGAGUGGAAUUCCGAGUGUAGAGGUGAAAUUCGUAGAUAUUCGGAAGAACACCAGUGGCGAAGGCGGCUCACUGGACUGGUAUUGACGCUGAGGCGCGAAAGCGUGGGGAGCAAACAGG